rnacentral:rRNA from 1 species
UACAGAGGCCUCGAGCGUUAGGCGGAAUUACUGGGCUUAAAGCGUGUGUAGGUGGAUGCCUAAGUACCUUGUGAAAUCCCACGGCUUAACCGUGGAACUGCUGGGUAUACUGGGCGUCUUGAGCCACUCAGGGGCUACCGGAACAAGCGGUGGAGCGGUGAAAUGCGUAGAUAUCGCUUGGAACGCCAAUGGUGAAAACAGGUAGCUGGGGGUGUGCUGACACUGAGACACGAAAGCCAGGGGAGCAAACGGG